UUAUUUCUUUGAUGACUCGAGCCCAUUCAGCAAAUCUGACUCACCUAUAUUGCCCUGAUUUCGCGUAACUACCAGUUGUCGUUGGACCAUGAUGAAGUCCGCAUAGGUCGAUGGCUUAUUUGGCCUUGACGAACGAUUGACCUGUAAAACCAGUAGAAAGAAUAGCAUCAGGGACAAUAGCAUGAGCAUCGAAACAAAUAGAGCAUCAUCAUUGAUUUCUCCUCGUUAUCUCUCGCUCAGCAGUUGCAUCAAGCGGCGGCAGCAGCCAAAUCUGAAACCACACUCUGCUCCCACACCUCACACGACACAAGCGCAGCAUCUAACACAAGCGGUAGCAGCAGCAACCAAGUCACCAAAUCUCACUCACCGAAUUCUCAUUCGAGCACCAACACCCACAGAUCGCCCCCCUUGUUUCUUUGUGCAGUCCAACCCAUUAGCAGCUGUCAGACACCUGCAUUUUUAUCAAAUUGAUUCCAUACAAGCAUCAGACCUCUCUCUGUCUCUCCCCAAACGCAAAGUAGCUAGGUCGAUGGCUCAUUUGGCUGUGAUGUGAUGGAGAAUCUGUAAAAACCAGUACAAAUAAGAGCAUCAGGGACAAGAGCUAUCGGCAUUGAAACAAGUAGAGCAGGAGCGGCCAAAUCUGAAACCACAUACUCUGCUCUCUCACACGUCACAGAGCACAAGCGCAGCAUGUAACACGGGCGGGCCGCCGUGCUUGCAGCCUCGCCCUCUCCC
rnacentral:lncRNA from 1 species